AUGUUCACUUAAGUAGCACAUAUAUGGAAAUUAGAAUGGUACAGAGAAGAUGAACAUGGCCAUGCACAAGGAUGACAUGCAAAUUCCUGAAGCAUUACAUAUUUAA
rnacentral:snRNA from 1 species